rnacentral:rRNA from 1 species
GUCCUAGCCGUAAACGAUGUGGACUAGGUGUUGGAGGUGUUGAUCCCUCCAGUGCCGACGCUAACGCAUUAAGUCCACCACCUGGGGAGUACGGUCGCAAGACUGAAACUCAAAGAAAUUGACGGGGACCCGCACAAGCGGUGGAGCAUGUGGUUUAAUUCGAGGCUACGCGAAGAACCUUACCCAGGCUUGACAUGUAGCUGCAAUCCUAUGAAAGUAGGCCCUCCCGCAAGGGACGGUUACACAGGUGCUGCAUGGCUGUCGU